rnacentral:rRNA from 1 species
AACGAACGCUGGCGGCAGGCUUAACACAUGCAAGUCGAGCGCAUCCUUCGGGGUGAGCGGCGGACGGGUGAGUAACGCGUGGGAACGUGCCCUCUUCUACGGAAUAGCCUCGGGAAACUGAGAGUAAUGCCGUAUACGCCCGCAAGGGGAAAGAUUUAUCGGAGGAGGAUCGGCCCGCGUUGGAUUAGGUAGUUGGUGGGGUAACGGCCUACCAAGCCGACGAUCCAUAGCUGGUUUGAGAGGAUGAUCAGCCACACUGGGACUGAGACACGGCCCAGACUCCUACGGGAGGCAGCAGUGGGGAAUCUUGGACAAUGGGGGCAACCCUGAUCCAGCCAUGCCGCGUGAUCGAUGAAGGCCUUAGGGUUGUAAAGAUCUUUCAGCUGGGAAGAUAAUGACGUUACCAGCAGAAGAAGCCCCGGCUAACUCCGUG